UACAGAGGUCUCAAGCGUUGUUCGGAUUCAUUGGGCGUAAAGGGUGCGUAGGUGGCGUCGUAAGUCGGGUGUGAAAUUUCGGAGCUUAACUCCGAAACUGCAUUCGAUACUGCGGUGCUUGAGGACUGGAGAGGAGACUGGAAUUUACGGUGUAGCAGUGAAAUGCGUAGAGAUCGUAAGGAAGACCAGUGGCGAAGGCGGGUCUCUGGACAGUUCCUGACACUGAGGCAACGAAGGCCAGGGGAGCAAACGGG
rnacentral:rRNA from 1 species